rnacentral:lncRNA from 1 species
CGGGAGGGCGGGAAGGAGGGAGGGAGGGGGAGGCCGCCUCGGCUUGGGAUUCAUGGAAGUGACUGCUGUUUCCCCAGCAAGAGUAAAAGUGAAAAGGGGCCUGAGUCACCAGACAGGACAGGGGACCCACGGGGCUCCCAGAAUUCUCCCGGGCACCUGGUGGCCCUGGCAUCAGCGCUGACAUCAGGGCCAACCCCGCCCCGGGCCAGGAUCCCGGUAGGAUCCGGUCGGAUCAGCAAAGGAGUUAUUUCAGGCUGAACCCUGGCUGUAAAAUUAGCCGAUUCGGGAGGGCUGGGUGAGGAGAGACACAGAGACAGGCAGACACAGAGACAAAGAGAGACAGAGACAGAAACACAGACAGAGAGAGACAGGUCAAGGCAGACACCAUGAGUGCUGUGGGGGGCAGGGCCGGGAGAUGGGGAGGUUGGGGGCUGCAGCAUUGUUCCUGGGGUCCAGCUGAGCCCCUACAGCUGAGAUUCCUGCCCAGCCUGGGCUUGGCUGGAGCAGACAGAUCACACUUGGGACUCAGGAGACUCUGGGGGGUCUCCUCUGGGCAGGAGAGUGGUGAGUGGGAAAUCACUGGGGUGUAGGGACUCUAAACCCAAAGCAUCCAGGGGUCCCCUCCAUCUUGCUGUGCUUCUGCUUCCUAUUCUCCAACCUGCUGCACUGGGCUCCGCACAUCACCCCCCUCCCAGACCCACACCCUCCUAUGGGGGGAAACUGAGGCCAAGGCCACACAGUAAGUUCCCUGGGCCAGAGCCAGCAAUGAGAUUGCACCCACCCCCAGCUCCCAGCAGCAACCUGGAUACGGGCUGGACUCCAGAAGGCCUGGCCGGGGGAAUUCCACGUGCCCAGGCUGCCUUCCAGCCAGCCACGUCUGCCUCAGACCUUUCUGCCACCAAGCCUAGCAGUCAACACAGAGACGUCAGAGUCUGCCUGGGACCACACAGCAAUCCCAUCCCAACUGGUGGUCUGGCAGGGUCCCGUGCAACCCAGGCUGUCUACACCUUGAGAGUGCCAGGACAGGCAGCUUUAAAAGAGGACACAUGUCCGCCAGUGUGAACCACUACUUUGUGACUGCACGACGAGUACAGCUGGGCUCCAGAGCAAAGGUGGCAGGUUGAGUUGGGACCCCUCAAGGACAAUAGAAGGGGUGGCUGUGACUAUGCCUGUGGAUAUUACCAUAGCAUUACCUGCUCUUCCAGGGCCAAACCCAGGGCCUUUUGCAGGAAAGGCCAGUGACCACGCCCCCAGCCCCCACUGUGGGACUCUA